rnacentral:rRNA from 1 species
AAUUUUGGUCAAUGGGGGAAACCCUGAUCCAGCCAUCCCGCGUGUAUGAUUAAGGCCUUCGGUUUGUAAAGCACUUUAAGUUGGGAGGAAGGGCAGUAAGUUAAUACCUUGUUGUUUUGACGUCACCGACAGAAAAACCACCGGCUAACUCCGUGCUAGCAGCCGCGGUAAUCCGAAGGGUGCAAGCGUUAAUUGGAAUUAAUGGGCGUAAAGCGCGCGGAGGUGGUUUGUUAAGUUGGAAGUGAAAGCACCGGGCUCAACCUGGGAACUGCUUUCAAAACUGGCAAGCUAGAGUAUGGCAGAGGGUGGUGGAAUUUCCUGUGUAGCGGUGAAAUGCGUAGAUAUAGGAAGGAACACCAGUGGCGAAGGCGACCACCUGGGCUAAUACUGACACUGAGGUGCGAAAGCGUGGGGAGCAAACAG